ensembl:lncRNA
AUAUAUAUAUAUAUAUAUAUAUAUAUAUAUAUAUAUGCGCAUGUGUGAGAGAGAGAUAUAUAUUAUGGGAGCUGACAUACCAUGUAAACCAAGAUAUAGCAAGAUAACACCCACUUUAAAAUAUAGAAUGAAAAUAAUCCCUAUCUAUCAAGCAUCAAGCGAGUCUCUCCUGCAGUUUAACUCGUCGGUGUAGCGUACACGUUUCACGUUCCUGUCUUUGGUCAUGGCCUCCACAAAGCCCAGUAAUCCUGCAGGACUCUGAGUGCUUAAUGCUUGUGUUUAAUUAGAAGACCUUCAUAAGAAUACGUCAUGCUGUUAGGUUAACGUCGGACCUUGCCAUUAUUUGAGUAACACAGCCCAAGACGAUACGUCCAGCUGAGUUCACUACUGCAACACUUACUAGAGUAAUAUUGUAAAAAUGAACAUGGAGGCACAACCCAAACUACAUCACACUAACAACCGACAGGCUGCUGAUGUCAAGUUGCCAGAUUGGUCUUUUGUAGAGUGGCGCGACUGAUACCAUUACCGUUGUAGAUCUGAUGAAUGUUUUUAGCCAAAAUACAGACAGAACACUGAAAUUCAUAUACCUCAUAUACGUAUACUACGUGACCUUUAUCUGAAAAGUAUUUUUAGUGUUUGCUGGUUUCACUGAUGUUUUUUCCUUCAGUUUUUGUGCAACAAAAUGGGAACCAAACGCAGAUACAAAAUUAAGAUGAGACGAGGAAAAUCCGAGGAAUUUAUUAGCCAAUCGAUUUUUGCCACGUCACCAUAACCAAUUUACAUAAACUAAUGCAUGUCACGCUGCUGCACUUACGAAAUGUCUAUUUCAAGGAAAUGAAGUUUAAUGUUGCGUAGUCAUUUGCUAGUGUGAAUGCAAGAUGAGGUCAAUCAAAUCUUUAAUCUCAAAAGGGCUCGUGUUGUAACAUUAAGAAUGGCAAAAGUACCCACCUCCAUAUUUGAUUCAGUACUUCACUAAAUUCCAUCAAGUAAUUAUAAUCAAAUACUCAGUCACUUCAUCCGGUCAUGAUGUCAUUUUAGUGAAAUGGAGCUACUGUGUCUGUAAAUUUCCAUAACAUCACAUUUUUUAAAAUUGAAAUUAGUGUUCAUCAGAUGCACAUUCUGAUUCCUAUAAAUCAAUGCACAGUGUACAUUUGUUAAUUUAAGCUGGACAGAACAGACUAAUGCAAAGCAAAGGAAAAAGGGGGAAUUAAAUAUAAAGGAAAACAAAAGAAAAUGUGAAUAUAUACAAGUGUCAUUUACAUUAAAAUUAGAGAAGGCAGGAUUUAGUUAAUGAAGAUUUAAAAAGUAUGGAAGGUCAUAUUCCCUAAAAUAAUAUUUACUAAAAAACAAAACAAACAAGAUAUUUUAACUGCGGUAGAUAAGGACUUCGAGAAAACAUCCUAUUGCGCUAUAAUUAAAGUCAAGCACACGUACAGUACGAAGGGGGAAACAUACAUACACACACACACACACACACACACACACACAUUAUAUAUAUAUCAAUAUA